GAUGAACGCUGGCGGCGUGCCUAAUACAUGCAAGUCGAGCGAACAGACGAGGAGCUUGCUCCUCUGACGUUAGCGGCGGACGGGUGAGUAACACGUGGAUAACCUACCUAUAAGACUGGGAUAACUUCGGGAAACCGGAGCUAAUACCGGAUAAUAUUUUGAACCGCAUGGUUCAAAAGUGAAAGACGGUUUUGCUGUCACUUAUAGAUGGAUCCGGGCUGCAUUAGCUAGUUGGUAAGGUAACGGCUUACCAAGGCAACGAUGCAUAGCCGACCUGAGAGGGUGUCCGGCAAAACGGGAACGAAGACACGGCCCAAACCCCAAGGGAAGGAAGCAGAAGGAAUCCUUCCGCAAGGGGCGAAGGCCUGACGGAGCAACGCGGGGGGGGUGAUGAGGGCCUUCGGAUCGUAAAACUCUGUUAUUAGGGAAGAACAAAUGUGUAAGUAACGAUGCACGUCUGGACGGUACCAAAUAAGAAAGCCACGGCAACCUACGU
rnacentral:rRNA from 1 species